UGGGGAAUAUUGCACAAUGGGGGAAACCCUGAUGCAGCGACGCCGCGUGAGCGAAGAAGGCUUUCGAGUCGUAAAGCUCUGUCCUAUGAGAAGAUAAUGACGGUAUCAUAGGAGGAAGCCCUGGCUAAAUACGUGCCAGCAGCCGCGGUAAUACGUAGGGCGCGAGCGUUGUCCGGAAUUAUUGGGCGUAAAGGGCUUGUAGGCGGUUGGCCGCGUCUGCCGUGAAAUCCUCUGGCUUAACUGGGGGCGUGCGGUGGGUACGGGUUGACUUGAGUGCGGUAGGGGAGACUGGAAUUCCUGGUGUAGCGGUGGAAUGCGCAGAUAUCAGGAGGAACACCGGUGGCGAAGGCGGGUCUCUGGGCCGUUACUGACGCUGAGGAGCGAAAGCGUGGGGAGCGAACAGG
rnacentral:rRNA from 1 species